CGGACUUUAUUUCAAAAAAUAUAAAAUUGCAUUUUUUUUUAAGUGCACUUUUUUCCGGGUUAUCAAUGACAUAGUUCAUUAUCCCGUGCGGGAUAAUAAUAAUAUAAUAUAGGCAUAAAUCUACACAGGUUUUGGUUUGGACCAACGAAUUAGGUAUUCUCUCAAAUAUAUUUGUAUACGAACGAAUGAAUGAUUUCUUAAUUUCUUAAAAUACUGAUUAUGACAUUAUGUAGCACACAGCCAACAAAUCCACAACUCUAUAUAAUUGAUAAAUAUACAAAUAAAAUAUUUAUAAUUUAUUAUGUAAUAAAUAAUAGACUAUAGUUGAUUAAACAAAAACAAAUGUCGUAAAAAUGUGUCACUCAUAAAGUUCCACCGUAAAUAUGGGCCUGAUUAGUGUCAUAAUAUAGUGGCAUUAAUUAUUGAAGAUAUAAAUCCUACUACUCUAUUGUAUUGAGUGUAUUAUUUGUCUUUUACGUCAAUUAUGAUAUAUUGAUGAAUGGUAAAGACGGUUCAGCAGUGGAGUACCUAUAAUCGCUACCGCAUAUACUCCCAGUUUAUUAAUUAUUACUUAGUCACACACUAACGUCUAAUAUUACUUACUCAUUAUAGUGAUUAGUGUCAUUACUCAUUAUUACAUGAUAUAAUAUUAAUAUGAUUUGUGGCUAAUUAUUUUACUCUAUAGUAUACAAAGUUCAUUACGAUUGUUAGCAUAGCAAACUGCGCAUAAGUUAUGAAUUCCUGGAUAAUAUUAAUAUGACGAUAUCGAGACACGACUACCUACUCUACGCGCAGUGUAUGACUGUAUAGCUCACGAUUGUAUAUUUGUAUGUGGUAUAUAUGGUUGCGCUUGGUUAUGUAAUUAUGCGUCCAUCAUAAUAUUAUGUUCUUCUCAAAAAUAUUCAAAACUUAAAGUCUUAGAUAAAAUUAUUAUCUAAGCAUAAUGUAUACCGUGUCUGUAAAUAGCACAACUGUGCUGCAACUUUAUAAUUAUUAUGCACACAACUCAAGCCAACGCGCUCAAUUGCUAUCAUAUCACUAACAAUUAUUUUUUUGCUUUUGUGAUUGUCUUAGAAUACAUAUUUUCCCAACUGUUAUUAUUAUUCGUACACUAUAAACAAUAAUAUUAACAAUAUUAUGUUAGCCGAAAAAAACACCGUUUUCCCGAGUCUUUUCAGACAAACCGGCUGAACGUGACCUUCAUACAAUUACAAGGAACCAGCGCCGGACAUAUCUGGUCCGUUGGGCGUACUACUGCAUGAUGUAGGUGAUGGUAACAGACGGGGCUGUUCAUGGUGAAGAGCACUCGUGACAGCCAAUAUAAAUAUAAAUCAAUCGAACCUCAACCAAUAUCGAGCUAACCCACAACCACCGGAAUUCUUGUACCGGAUCACGUGGUUCGACGGCAACUACCGGACCUGGACCAAGAGCAGGGCGAAGCAGGUUUUCUGGAUUACGGCCCUGAAGAAGGGCUGCCACACCACGGCCUUUCCCAACACGUACUCUAUGUUCCAGACCAGGUCCGGUCGCAUGAAGAUCAGUUGGUUCCGUCCGUACGAUAGCAACAGCCAGGUCCGAAACAUACCUACCACAUCCCUCCUUGACUUGAACCACACGCACCAACAGCCAUGACGGCGAUGUACCUAACAAUAAUUCGACCUCCGAAAAUCUGUCAGUGUGUGUGUGUUUGUGCCAUAAUUGUGUUGAAUAUCAAUCGUCGUUGACAUCAAAAGCUCACUGUCGCGGGUCGACUCAUCAACAUUCACUACGAGAUCGUGUGUGCGUGGGAUGUUUGAAUAAUUAUUUGUUUUUAAGUAAUUUGUUUUCAACUGAUCAAUAAAUGAACGUCAUAUUUUAACGAAA
rnacentral:lncRNA from 1 species